AUUGAACGCUGGCGGUAUGCCUUACACAUGCAAGUCGAACGGCAGCACGGGAGCAAUCCUGGUGGCGAGUGGCGAACGGGUGAGUAAAGUAUCGGAACGUGCCUAGUCGUGGGGAUAACGUAGCGAAAGUUACGGUAAUACCGCAUACGAUCUAUGGAUGAAAGCGGGGGAUCGUAAGACCUCGCGCGAUUGGAGCGGCCGAAAUCAGAUUAGGUAGUUGGGAGGGUAAAGGCUCACCAAGCCGACGAUCUGUAACUGGUCUGAGAGGACGACCAGCCACACUGGGACUGCGACACGUCCCAGACGCCUACGGGAGGCAGCAGUUGGUAAUUUUGGCCAAUGGGGGCAAGCCUGAUCCAGCCAUGCCGCGUGCAGGAUGAAGGCCUUCGGGUUGUAAACUGCUUUUGUACGGAACGAAAAGGUUUGACUUAAUACGUUGGACUCAUGACGGUACCGUAAGAAUAAGCACCGGCUAACUACGUGCCAGCCGCCGCAGUAA
rnacentral:rRNA from 1 species